GACGAACGCUGGCGGCGUGCUUAACACAUGCAAGUCGAACGGAAAGGCCCUGCUUUUGUGGGGUGCUCGAGUGGCGAACGGGUGAGUAACACGUGAGUAACCUGCCCUUGACUUUGGGAUAACUUCAGGAAACUGGGGCUAAUACCGGAUAGGAGCUCCUGCUGCAUGGUGGGGGUUGGAAAGUUUCGGCGGUUGGGGAUGGUCUCGCGGCUUAUCAGCUUGUUGGUGAGGUAGUGGCUGACCAAGGCUUUGACGGGUAGCCGGCCUGAGAGGGUGACCGGCCACAUUGGGACUGAGAUACGGACCAGACGCGUACCGGAGGCAGCAGUGGGGAAUAUUACAGAGUAGGGCGAAGCCUGAUGCGGAAACGUCGGGUGCGGAAUGCUGGCCUACGGGUUAUGAACCGAUUUCGCCUGUGACAAAGAGUGAGUGACGGUAAUGGGUAAAGAAGCCCCGGCUAACUACGUG
rnacentral:rRNA from 1 species